CCUCUCAUUAGCCAGCCACUCAUUCCCGAGAAGGCCUUAAAAGCUUUACCAGCUCGCUAAUGUAUUUAGGCUUUUCUUCCAGGCAAACGCAGCCGCUACCGCGACUGCCAUCAGCCCCUGGGGGGUGGGGGGGGGCGUUCCUCUGGGCUCCCCUGGGAGCCAACCGCUUACCUUCUCCGCCCCCCCCUCCCCACCCCACCCAGCUUCAAGUCAGGGAAACUCUGGCCAACCCAGAUCCCCAGGCUGUAAUCAAGGGCAGACCCGACAUCGCUGAACCGACUUGCUGCGGGAAACAGCCCCAACAAGUCCCCACUAAUUUCGCCAGCGCCCCUCGCAUCAAAGCCUCCAGCUCUGCGAGCCUCAUAGCACCGGCGAGGGUACCCGGGAAGGAACUUCGACGGCCAGCUGGCCCCGGGUGGUGGGCGCUGACUACCCCUUUGGGGCGCCAGCCCCGUUCUCAGCACUGAGCAAGGAUCAAUGUUUAAAUUGAUUGACAUCAUAAAGGAUCUAAGACCUACGUCUACUCGUAAAAGGGUCUCAUCUAGCCCACGCAAGAAUCUCUCCUCAACUGUGCAAAGACCUGAAGAUUCUCUCCGCUCACAUCUGUCACUCUGUACAGCUCUCGUCAAGACUUGAACAGUCUUCACUUGAUUAAAUGGCCAGUACCCAGAUGACCAGUCACUUAAAAAAAAAUACCUAUCUUUAGUAAAUUUUUGUAAAGAUACACAAAGACCUUUUUGAUAACGAUAUAUGAUAAAAUACAUAAAAUGAUGCAUCUGGUUAUAGUGUUAGAGGUUAAUGAUCUAGGUUUUUCUCACAUGUCCUGCCAACACCUAGAGUGCCUCAUAUUUCAUAUGAAAUUCAGGACAGCCAGUUUGAUCAAAGCAGCCAGAGAAGUGAUAGGAAAUGUAGGCCUUUUGGGAAAAAGACUGAAAAAAAGUAGAUUGGAAAUCAUAUGAAUGUAGAAUGAGUCAAGAUGAGUACAGAGAGGUUUUAGGCAGGAAAGAACAUGUUGAGUUUAGAAAUCUUAUCUUAGAAGUUAAAAUUUAAGGAACAAAAGAUAAUAAGGGUGAGAACAAAGUAUAGUUUUGUCUAAAGACAAAAGGCAGUCUUGAAAUAUAAUAAAAUAUUAUAAACAAGUGUUAUUUGCACAUUUGGGAAUAUGUUUUAGACUAUCCCCUUUAUUUUGGGGAAAAAAAUAACUUGAUUUUAAAAUAAUCCAUAGUUGAGAUCUGUAUUGUGUUACUUGUUUUUGGCUUUAGAAAGGCAUAAUCAUAACUAAAUUCUCUUAAUUAAUGUAGGAAAUUAGCUCAGAAACCAAUGUAAACUACACUAUUAUCUCAUUAAAUUCUCAUGACCACCCUCCAAUCUGCCACCAUUAUUUUCUGCAUUGUACAGAUAAAGAAAUUAAAAGGUGAAGUCAUGCUUGGUAGUUGAGGAGGUAGGAUUCAAACACAUGUCUAUAAGAGACUUCAGAGUCUGAAGAGCUAGUUGAACAGUAUAGCUGAAAUCUAUGAGAAGGAGAUAAUUAAAAAUCACUGUCUGACAUGUCUCUUAUAGAGUUGCCACGUGAUCCAGCAACCCCACUUCUGGGAAUAUACCCAGGCAAAACUAUAAUUAAAAAUGAUACGUGGGCCCCAAUGUUCACAGCAACACUAUUUACAAUAGCCAAGAUAUGGAAACAAUUUAAACCUCCAUCUGCAGGAUGAAGGGAUACAGAAGAUGUGGUACAUAUAUACAAUGGAAUACUACUCAGGAAUUGAAAAAAUGAAAUAAAAUGCCAUUUGCCACAACAUGGAUUGACUUGGAGAUGACUGUACUAAAUGAAGUAAGUCAGAAAGAGAAAGACUAAUAACACAUCACUUAUAUGUGGAAUUUAAAAUGUGCAACACAUGAACCCAUCUACAAAACAGACAGACUCACAGACACAGGGAACACACUUGUGGUUGCCAGUGGGAACUGGGUGGAAGAGGGAUGGAUUGGGAGUUUGGGGUUAGCAGACGCAAGCUUUCAUAUAUAGAAUGGAUAAAAAACAAGGUCCUACUGUAUAGUACAGGGAACUAUAUUCAGCAUCCUGUGCUAAACUAUAAUGGAAAAGAAUACAAGAAAGAAUGUAUCCACAGACAUAACUGAAUCACUUUGUUGAACAGUGGAAACUAACAAUGUUGUAGAUCAACUCUACCUCAAUUAAAAAAAAAAUAAAAUCUCCUAAACACUACACCUAGCAGUAUUUUCCAUUUAUAUAUUAUACAAGAGUUCUAUCAUUUUUGCUUUGUCUUCUUUUUGUUUCUGGGCUAAAACAUUUCUAUCACUUUUGCAUUGAAGUAAUUUCCUUAUUGACCUUUUAGUAAUUCUUCUGUUCUCUUCUGAAUGAUCGAAUUUGUAUCUCUUUUAUUAUGUAAUACUACCCGCAUGAACCACUUGGUACUAAAACAAAGCAUUCCAAGUGAAACUCACUCAAUUGUAUUAAAUACUAUAUUUAAUGAAGAAUAAAGUGCAUUACAGGAUUUUUGUGUUAGUGACACAUUAUUGAUAUUUUUCAUUUUUUUAAUGCUCUUUGGUGUUCUGUUCUCAUUACUGUUUUAUACUACUCACUGCUUUCUAUGUGAACAACUUCACAUUUUUCUUUACCGAAUGAACUAUUUUUGUUUUUAACCCAUUUUACGAACUUUCAGGUUCAUAUUCUAUUUUAAUUCUAAUUUUUCAAAAAUAU